GGUUAAGCGACUAAGCGUACACGGUGGAUGCCUAGGCAAUCAGAGGCGAUGAAGGACGUGCUAAUCUGCGAUAAGCGUCGGUAAGGUGAUAUGAACCGUGAUAACCGACGAUUUCCGAAUGGGGAAACCCAGUGCAAUCCGUUGCACUAUCGUUUGAUGAAUACAUAGUCAAACGAAGCGAACCGGGGGAACUGAAACAUCUCAGUACCCCGAGGAAAAGAAAUCAACCGAGAUUCCCCUAGUAGCGGCGAGCGAACGGGGAGCAGCCCAGAGUCUUAAUCAACAUUAGCAUCAGGAGAACGGUCUGGAAAGGCCGGCAGUAAAGGGUGAUAGCCCCGUAUCCGAAGGUGUUAGUGUUGUGAACUCGACGAGUAGGGCGGGACACGUGUUAUCCUGUCUGAAUAUGGGGGGACCAUCCUCCAAGGCUAAAUACUCCUGAUUGACCGAUAGUGAACCAGUACCGUGAGGGAAAGGCGAAAAGAACCCCGGCGAGGGGAGUGAAAUAGAACCUGAAACCGUGUACGUACAAGCAGUGGGAGCACCUUUAGGGGUGUGACUGCGUACCUUUUGUAUAAUGGGUCAGCGACUUAUAUUCUGUAGCAAGGUUAACCGUAUAGGGGAGCCGUAGGGAAACCGAGUCUUAACUGGGCGAAUGAGUUGCAGGGUAUAGACCCGAAACCCGGUGAUCUAGCCAUGGGCAGGUUGAAGGUUGGGUAACACUAACUGGAGGACCGAACCGACUAAUGUUGAAAAAUUAGCGGAUGACUUGUGGCUGGGGGUGAAAGGCCAAUCAAACCGGGAGAUAGCUGGUUCUCCCCGAAAGCUAUUUAGGUAGCGCCUCGUGAACUCAUCUUCGGGGGUAGAGCACUGUUUCGACUAGGGGGUCAUCCCGACUUACCAACUCGAUGCAAACUACGAAUACCGAAGAAUGUUAUCACGGGAGACACACGGCGGGUGCUAACGUUCGUCGUGAAGAGGGAAACAACCCAGACCGCCAGCUAAGGUCCCAAAGUCAUAGUUAAGUGGGAAACGAAGUGGGAAGGCUCAGACAGCCAGGAUGUUGGCUUAGAAGCAGCCAUCAUUUAAAGAAAGCGUAAUAGCUCACUGGUCGAGUCGGCCUGCGCGGAAGAUGUAACGGGGCUAAACUAUGCACCGAAGCUGCGGCAGCGAUAUGUAAAUAUUGUUGGGUAGGGGAGCGUUCUGUAAGCCUGUGAAGGUGUACUGUGAGGUAUGCUGGAGGUAUCAGAAGUGCGAAUGCUGACAUAAGUAACGAUAAUGCGGGUGAAAAACCCGCACGCCGGAAGACCAAGGGUUCCUGUCCAACGUUAAUCGGGGCAGGGUGAGUCGACCCCUAAGGCGAGGCAGAAAUGCGUAGUCGAUGGGAAACGGGUUAAUAUUCCCGUACUGGUGAUAAUUGCGAUGGGGGGACGGAGAAGGCUAGGCUAUCCGGGCGACGGUUGUCCCGGUUUAAGGAUGUAGGCAGGUGAAUUAGGCAAAUCCGGUUCACUACAUGCUGAGGUCCGAUGACGAGUCACUACGGUGAUGAAGUAGCUCAUGCCCCGCUUCCAGGAAAAGCCUCUAAGCUCUAGAUUAUCAUUAAUCGUACCCCAAACCGACACAGGUGGUCAGGUAGAGAAUACUCAGGCGCUUGAGAGAACUCGGGUGAAGGAACUAGGCAAAAUGGUGCCGUAACUUCGGGAGAAGGCACGCUGGCGCUAGGUGAAGUCCCUCGCGGAUGGAGCUGAAGCCAGUCGCAGAUACCAGCUGGCUGCAACUGUUUAUUAAAAACACAGCACUGUGCAAACACGAAAGUGGACGUAUACGGUGUGACGCCUGCCCGGUGCUGGAAGGUUAAUUGAUGGGGUUAUCCGUAAGGAGAAGCUCUUGAUCGAAGCCCCAGUAAACGGCGGCCGUAACUAUAACGGUCCUAAGGUAGCGAAAUUCCUUGUCGGGUAAGUUCCGACCUGCACGAAUGGCGUAAUGAUGGCCAGGCUGUCUCCACCCGAGACUCAGUGAAAUUGAACUCGCUGUGAAGAUGCAGUGUACCCGCGGCAAGACGGAAAGACCCCGUGAACCUUUACUAUAGCUUGACACUGAACAUUGAGCCUUGAUGUGUAGGAUAGGUGGGAGGCUUUGAAGUGUGGACGCCAGUCUGCAUGGAGCCAACCUUGAAAUACCACCCUUUAAUGUUUGAUGUUCUAACGUAGCCCCGUUAUCCGGGGUGCGGACAGUGUCUGGUGGGUAGUUUGACUGGGGCGGUCUCCUCCCAAAGAGUAACGGAGGAGCACGAAGGUUGGCUAAGCAUGGUCGGACAUCAUGCGGUUAGUGCAAAGGCAUAAGCCAGCUUGACUGCGAGAGUGACGGCUCGAGCAGGUACGAAAGUAGGUCUUAGUGAUCCGGUGGUUCUGAAUGGAAGGGCCAUCGCUCAACGGAUAAAAGGUACUCCGGGGAUAACAGGCUGAUACCGCCCAAGAGUUCAUAUCGACGGCGGUGUUUGGCACCUCGAUGUCGGCUCAUCACAUCCUGGGGCUGAAGUAGGUCCCAAGGGUACGGCUGUUCGCCGUUUAAAGUGGUACGCGAGCUGGGUUUAGAACGUCGUGAGACAGUUCGGUCCCUAUCUGCCGUGGGCGUUGGAAGAUUGAAAGGGGCUGCUCCUAGUACGAGAGGACCGGAGUGGACGCACCACUGGUGUUCGGGUUGUCAUGCCAAUGGCAUUGCCCGGUAGCUAAGUGCGGAAGAGAUAACCGCUGAAAGCAUCUAAGCGGGAAACUUGCCUUGAGAUGAGUCUUCCCUGACUCUUUAAGGGUCCUAAAGGAACGUUUAAGACUAAGACGUUGAUAGGUUGGGUGUGUAAGCGUAGCGAUAUGUUGAGCUAACCAAUACUAAUGAACCGUGAGGCUUAACCUG
rnacentral:rRNA from 1 species